rnacentral:rRNA from 1 species
CUUCCGCCGGCGACCGGCGCACGGGUGAGUAACACGUAUGCAACCUGCCCCUGUCAGGGGGACAACCCGCCGAAAGGCGGGCUAAACUCGCGUACAUGCCACCGGGGCAUCCCGGAGGCAGGAAAGGCUUCGGCCGGACAGGGAUGGGCAUGCGGCGCAUUAGGCAGUAGGCGGGGUAACGGCCCACCUAACCGACGAUGCGUAGGGGUUCUGAGAGGAAGGUCCCCCACACUGGUACUGAGACACGGCCAGACUCCUACGGAAGGCAGCAG